rnacentral:rRNA from 1 species
AGUGAACGCUGGCGGUAGGCCUAACACAUGCAAGUCGAACGGCAGCACAGUAAGAGCUUGCUCUUACGGGUGGCGAGUGGCGGACGGGUGAGGAAUACAUCGGAAUCUACUUUUUCGUGGGGGAUAACGUAGGGAAACUUACGCUAAUACGGCAUACGACCUACGGGGGAAAGCAGGGGAUCUUCGGACUUGGGGCGAUGGAAUGAGCCGAUGUCGGAUUAGCUAGUUGGCGGGGUAAAGGCCCACCAAGGCGACGAUCCGUAGCUGGUCUGAGAGGAUGAUCAGCCACACUGGAACUGAGACACGGUCCAGACUCCUACGGGAGGCAGCAGUGGGGAAUAUUGGACAAUGGGCGCAAGCCUGAUCCAGCCAUACCGCGUGGGUGAAGAAGGCCUUCGGGUUGUAAAGCCCUUUUGUUGGGAAAGAAAAGCAGCAGGUUAAUACCCCGCUGUUCUGACGGUACCCAAAGAAUAAGCACCGGCUAACUUCGUG